GAGUUUGAUCCUGGCUCAGAUUGAACGCUGGCGGCAUGCCUUACACAUGCAAGUCGAACGGCAGCACGGGAGCUUGCUCCUGGUGGCGAGUGGCGAAUGGGUGAGUAAUGCAUCGGAACGUAUCCUGGAGUGGGGGAUAACGUAGCGAAAGUUACGCUAAUACCGCAUAUUCUGUGAGCAGGAAAGCGGGGGACCUUCGGGCCUCGCGCUCUUGGAGCGGCCGAUGUCGGAUUAGCUAGUUGGUGAGGUAAAGGCUCACCAAGGCGACGAUCCGUAGCAGGUCUGAGAGGAUGAUCUGCCACACUGGAACUGAGACACGGUCCAGACUCCUACGGGAGGCAGCAGUGGGGAAUUUUGGACAAUGGGGGCAACCCUGAUCCAGCCAUGCCGCGUGAGUGAAGAAGGCCU
rnacentral:rRNA from 1 species